UGAGUAAUGUCUGGGAAACUGCCUGAUGGAGGGGGAUAACUACUGGAAACGGUAGCUAAUACCGCAUAACGUCGCAAGACCAAAGAGGGGGACCUUCGGGCCUCUUGCCAUCAGAUGUGCCCAGAUGGGAUUAGCUAGUAGGUGGGGUAAUGGCUCACCUAGGCGACGAUCCCUAGCUGGUCUGAGAGGAUGACCAGCCACACUGGAACUGAGACACGGUCCAGACUCCUACGGGAGGCAGCAGUGGGGAAUAUUGCACAAUGGGCGCAAGCCUGAUGCAGCCAUGCCGCGUGUGUGAAGAAGGCCUUCGGGUUGUAAAGCACUUUCAGCGAGGAGGAAGGUGGUGAGCUUAAUACGCCCAUCAAUUGACGUUACUCGCAGAAGAAGCACCGGCUAACUCCGUGCCAGCAGCCGCGGUAAUACGGAGGGUGCAAGCGUUAAUCGGAAUUACUGGGCGUAAAGCGCACGCAGGCGGUUUGUUAAGUCAGAUGUGAAAUCCCCGGG
rnacentral:rRNA from 1 species